GCGGGGUCUGCAACCAGGCUGCCUGCCAUAUGUUGUUUCUUGCAAUUAGCAGGUGCUUGGGGUGUGGGCUGGGCACCCAGAGGGCAAGGCGACUGCCUCUGCCAGGGAAACUCUCGUGAGCCAUACCAAGAGCUCAGGAAGAGAAACAAGGUGGCUGGGGGUUGAUGGGCAACCCCCAGGGCCAGUAAGAUGUGCUGGUCACGAAAGAAAUCUCUGUUUGCAGACAGUUUUAUUCCUGUACAGGUAUUUACAGCUUGCUACUGCAAAUUGAUGGAUCUUUAUUUCUGGAACUGUAGUCAUUCUUGCAGGUCCGUCGGUGCAGACAUUUUGGGAUAGUCCUUUGAUGUCUAUCAUCACACUAUGGAAGAGUGAGCAAAGCUUUCCCAGAAGUUCUGCAGCAGAAUUUCCAUCGUAUUUCAAUGACCAGAGCUGAGUCAUGUGCUUGUGCUUUGAAGAUUGCUUGGUAAGCCAGUGAGCCCACUGGCAUUGGCUUAGAGAAGUCAAGAUUCAUGGGUUGGGAAGGCACCCAAAGUUCACUGGCUUCAUGGAGCAUAAUGAAGAAGAUGCCAGCUGUCUUAGCAAGGAGGAAGGGGUACAUGGUGGUUGGGUGGGAAACCAAGUCUUCAUCACAGGAAUUUACCUUGGAGGGUAUUAUGCAUUGAAUGUUUGUGUCCCCUGCAAAUUCAUAUUUUGAAAUUCUAAAGCCCAAGGUGAUCGUAUCGGAGGUGGGGCCUUUGGGAAGUGAUUAGGUCAUAAGUGUAGAGCCCUCGUGAAUGGUAUUAGUGACCGAAUAAAAGGCACCCCAAAUAACUCUCUCACCCUCUUUUUUCUGGGUGGGGAGACAAUGAGAAAAUCACUGUCUGCAGCAUGGAAAAAGAUCCUCACCAGAACCAGAUCAUGUUGGCACCCGAAUCUUGGACUUCCAGCUUCCAGAACUCUAAACAAGCACUGGCCUCAAGAUAAGCAAUAUUAAAACAAUUACAGCUCAUCCAGCUGGCAGAUGCUGAUUAACUGACCCCCUGUUUCACCAGCCACAACUACAGCUUGGAUUGGACAAGGAACUGAUUUCAGUAACUUUCUCCUGAUAAGAAGACCAGCGACCAUGGACUGCUUCUGGCCAAUUUACAGAGAUUGUGGACUCGUAUGCUUUCAUGUCCUGAAAAGACCCUUUGAUGCAUAGGGCCUAAUUAUAAUACAGUUAAAUGUUGUAUCUCCACCCCAAAGUGAACAUGGGUCAUAUGUCACAUGCAUGUGUGUUAAACACACAUGCAUCAGGACCUCCUUCAUGAAUAUUCAUAGCUUCUCCUGUAACCUGUUGAAUAUGUAUGUUUAGCCAAAACAUUUACCAUAAAUAUCUUACCUCAACCCCUCCUUCAAAGUGCUUCUCUCUGGGCUGUUGGCCAGAGGCUGUGCUUCUCAGCCUGCGGAAUGGCCACUUUGUAGGCUGUAACCCUUUGCAAUAAAUAAAACCUCCCUCUUUUCUUUUCUAAAUUUAUAUAUUGUGAUUUUUUUUUUUUUUUUUUAGCUAACAUUACAGACUUGGGGGUAGAAUGGGAACUGCCUUCCAAGACUUUGUUAUUGGCUGAAUUCUGUACCCCCAAAAGUCAUAUGUUGAAGUCCUGACCCCCAGUACCUCAGACUGUGAAUAUAUUUGGUGAUAUGGUCUGUAAAGAAGUAAAUAAGUUAAAAAUGAGGCUAUCAGGGUCAGCCCUAAUUCAAUAAGACUGGUUGUCUUGUAAGAAGAGAUUAAGACGCACACAUACACAGAGACAAGAUGACCAUCUACAAGCUAAGGAGGGAGGCAUCAGAAGAAACCAGUUCUGCUGACACCUUGAUCUCAGACUCCCAGCCUCCAGACUUGUGAGACAAUAAAAAGUCUAUUGUUUAAGCCAC
rnacentral:lncRNA from 10 species